AUGAACGCUAGCUACAGGCUUAACACAUGCAAGUCGAGGGGCAGCAUUAUCGAAGCUUGCUCUUACCAGGAUGACGACCGGCGCACGGGUGAGUAACGCGUAUCCAACCUGGCCCAUACCACGGGAUAGCCCGUCGAAAGGCGGAUUAAUACCGUAUGCUGUCAUUAAGAUGCAUAUAUUGAUGACGAAAGGACUGGCGGUAUGGGAUGGGGAUGCGUCUGAUUAGCUUGUUGGCGGGGUAACGGCCCACCAAGGCAACGAUCAGUAGGGGUUCUGAGAGGAAGGUCCCCCACAUUGGAACUGAGACACGGUCCAAACUCCUACGGGAGGCAGCAGUGAGGAAUAUUGGUCAAUGGACGAGAGUCUGAACCAGCCAAGUAGCGUGCAGGAUGACGGCCCUAUGGGUUGUAAACUGCUUUUAUAAGGGAAUAAAGUGAGAGUCGUGACUCUUUUUGCAUGUACCUUAUGAAUAAGGACCGGCUAAUUCCGUG
rnacentral:rRNA from 1 species